GACGAACGCUGGCGGCGUGCUUAACACAUGCAAGUCGAACGGAAAGGCCCUGCUUUUGUGGGGUGCUCGAGUGGCGAACGGGUGAGUAACACGUGAGUAACCUGCCCUUGACUUUGGGAUAACUUCAGGAAACUGGGGCUAAUACCGGAUAGGAGCUCCUGCUGCAUGGUGGGGGUUGGAAAGUUUCGGCGGUUGGGGAUGGACUCGCGGCUUAUCAGCUUGUUGGUGGGGUAGUGGCUUACCAAGGCUUUGACGGGUAGCCGGCCUGAGAGGGUGACCGGCCACAUUGGGACUGAGAUACGGCCCAGACUCCUACGGGAGGCAGCAGUGGGGAAUAUUGCACAAUGGGCGGAAGCCUGAUGCAGCAACGCCGCGUGCGGAAUGACGGCCUUCGGGUUGUAAACCGCUUUCGCCUGUGUCGAAGCGUGAGUGACGGUAAUGGGUAAAGAAGCACCGGCUAACUACGUG
rnacentral:rRNA from 1 species